UACAGAGGUCCCAAGCGUUGUUCGGAUUCAUUGGGCGUAAAGGGUGCGUAGGUGGCCAGGUAAGUUCGGUGUGAAAGCUCGGAGCUUAACUCCGAAAUGGCAUUGAAUACUAUCUGGCUAGAGGGUCGGAGGGGAGACUGGAAUUCUCGGUGUAGCAGUGAAAUGCGUAGAUAUCGAGAGGAACACCAGUGGCGAAGGCGAGUCUCUGGACGACACCUGACACUGAGGCACGAAAGCCAGGGGAGCAAACAGG
rnacentral:rRNA from 1 species